GUUUGUUACAUUCUUCUAAAUCUGGGGCCGAGUGAACGAAGCUGUCCUAGGACUUGGUAAUGUCUAAGAAUGGUCUUAGGACACGUCUUAUUCCUAAGUCAGGUUAACAAAAGUCUCCUAAAAUAAGAUAUGUCCUAAAUUUGGUCCUAAAGUUAGGAUAUACAAAUAGGUGUUUUAUGAUAGUCCUAAAGGUUACAAUGUCCUCAAACGUAAUAAAAAACAACAAAU
rnacentral:lncRNA from 1 species